rnacentral:ribozyme from 1 species
AGAGAAAAAAAAAAAGAUGGAAACAUGGUAUUCCAAUGCAAUUCCAUUUUUUAUUCAUUCCUUGUGUUUGUUACUGCUGCUUACCAUUUUGGUGACAAUCUCCUGAUCUGU